UCCGGGAAUUAUUGGGCGUAAAGGGCUCGCAGGCGGUUUCUUAAGUCUGAUGUGAAAGCCCCCGGCUCAACCGGGGAGGGUCAUUGGAAACUGGGAAACUUGAGUGCAGAAGAGGAGAGUGGAAUUCCACGUGUAGCGGUGAAAUGCGUAGAGAUGUGGAGGAACACCAGUGGCGAAGGCGACUCUCUGGUCUGUAACUGACGCUGAGGAGCGAAAGCGUGGGGAGCGAACAGGAUUAGAUACCCUGGUAGUCCACGCCGUAAACGAUGAGUGCUAAGUGUUAGGGGGUUUCCGCCCCUUAGUGCUGCAGCUAACGCAUUAAGCACUCCGCCUGGGGAGUACGGUCGCAAGACUGAAACUCAAAGGAAUUGACGGGGGCCCGCACAAGCGGUGGAGCAUGUGGUUUAAUUUGAAGCAACGCGAAGAACCUUACCAGGUCUUGACAUCCUCUGACAACCCUAGAGAUAGGGCUUUCCCUUCGGGGACAGAGUGACAGGUGGUGCAUGGUUGUCGUCAGCUCGUGUCGUGAGAUGUUGGGUUAAGUCCCGCAACGAGCGCAACCCUUGAUCUUAGUUGCCAGCAUUUAGUUGGGCACUCUAAGGUGACUGCCGGUGACAAACCGGAGGAAGGUGGGGAUGACGUCAAAUCAUCAUGCCCCUUAUGACCUGGGCUACACACGUGCUACAAUGGACAGAACAAAGGGCUGCGAGACCGCAAGGUUUAGCCAAUCCCACAAAUCUGUUCUCAGUUCGGAUCGCAGUCUGCAACUCGACUGCGUGAAGCUGGAAUCGCUAGUAAUCGCGGAUCAGCAUGCCGCGGUGAAUACGUUCCCGGGCCUUGUACACACCGCCCGUCACACCA
rnacentral:rRNA from 1 species